AGCCACAGCCAUAUCACCCUGCAGCCCAAGACUGGUUGCCCACUGAAGCUAAGCAGGGUUGAGCCUGUUCAGUACCUGGAUGGGAGACCUCCUGGGAAAACUAGGUUGCUGUUGGAA
rnacentral:rRNA from 1 species